rnacentral:rRNA from 1 species
AUUGAACGCUGGCGGGAUGCUUUACACAUGCAAGUCGAACGAGUGGCGGACGGGAGAGUCAUGUAUCGGAACGUGCCCAGUAGCGGGGGUAAACUACUGGAAAGAGAGGCUAAUACCGCAUACCAUCGGAGCGGCCGGUAUCGGAUUAGCUGGUGGGUGGGGUAAAGGCUCACAAAGGCCACGAUCCGUAGCUGGGUUGAGAGGACGACCAGCCACACUGGAACUGAGACACGGCCCAGACGCCUACGGGAGGCAGCAGUGGGGAAUUUUGGACAAUGGGGGAAACCCUGAUCCAGCCAUCCCGCGUGUAUGAGAAGGCCUUCGGGUUGUAAAGUACUUUUGGCGGGGAGGCGGUAUCUGCAGAAUAAGCACCGGCUAACUACGUGCCAGCAGCCGCGGUAAUUC